rnacentral:lncRNA from 1 species
CAAAAGGCUUUAGCUAGUUUCACCAGCUUCUUGCCUCUGCUUCAUUUGCACAAACAUAAAAGGAAUGUGCUGGCCUUUUGAUUUUUAUUUUAAAAACAGAAAUUGGAAGAACUUGUUGAGAAUAUUUGAUAUCACCAAGCUCAAGAACAGUCAGAGAAUUGUCUCCUUGGCAAAAGUUGGGGUUGGGAUGGGCUUAGUCAGCACUCUGGGCACUCAGUGCUCUUCAGAGAGACCAGUACUCUAGGGCUGCUUGGUGGGAGGAGUACACAACAUCAUUAGUCCCUGGGUGUAAACAAAGAGUGCCUUCAAUGGCUAUUUUGUUUUCUGGUUCGUCAAAGAACAAGGAUAAAGAGUAUGCUACCCAUGAUUAAUUCUGGAGAAAAAAAUUCCAUGCAACGAGAAUUUUUUCCAAGAUUUAAGACAAAACAAUAUUUUCAGCCCAUAUCAAAACCCUCUCAGGACAACUGAUAUUGUGCACUGUGGAGAAUGCUUAGGAGAAUGUGCUAUUUGUUCUCAUCCUUUUCCAGGCUUUGUCCUCAUGGCAAACUUCAAGGCCAACAAAAGACAAAGGCAGAGGCAAGGCUGCCUCUGGACAAAUGGUGUUACAUCUGCAGCACUUCUAGCCUGUCCCUGACCAAGUCUGCUUCUGCUGCUGGAAGAAGCCCUCAGGCAAAGUCACGGAUACUUGUUAGAAAGCCCUUGGUGUAUAAGGAAUAGAGACCGGAUAUUAGUGUGUCUGAUAGAAACCACCAAGUCAUAAAAUAAGACCUUGAACAUUCAGAGGAGGACCAACCCCAGAAAGAAUUCUUCUCGCUAUGGAUAUUUUUUAACAAGCCUACAAAAUGAUUUGUGAGUAUCUUAAAGAAACUACAGGAAAAAGGUCCUGAAAGGUAUCUUGCCAGUGAGUAUGAAAUGGUAAAGGUAAGAUGCAUAAAAGUCAUCUUUAUUUUAGUACAUGAGAACGUAAUUCUAAUGGCUUUCAGAGGUUUAUUCCAAGUAUCAUUUCCCCUAGUGUGAUUUCUGUCAUAGGGAUUUAAGUUCUUGAACCAUAGGGCCUUCUGCCUCAGAGUUCUUAAGAACAUGGUCUCUGUAAUUGAGGAACGACUUGUGUACAGCCUUUUUUAUUUCAUUUUUUAUUUGUAUAUUCAAUCCCAU